AGUUCAAUUAAAGCGCCUGUACAAGUGAAGAGGUUAUGUGUUUGUAAUUUAAGGUUUAUAACAGAAAUCUUAAUAGACACGAUAAUCGAAGUUUGUAGACGAGGAGGGUAGUUAUCGAACCAUCGGCGGAUGCUAUCCCGGAUGUGGCUCAUUCGUUAACUUAUUAAGGAAAACAUUAGGGUAACCUGGUGCACAAAGUUAAUAAGAUAGCCAAAA
rfam:Staphylococcus saprophyticus subsp. saprophyticus ATCC 15305 DNA, complete genome.